UUUAAUGAGAGUUUGAUCCUGGCUCAGGACGAACGCUGGCGGCGUGCCUAAUACAUGCAAGUAGAACGCUGAGGUUUGGUGUUUACACUAGACUGAUGAGUUGCGAACGGGUGAGUAACGCGUAGGUAACCUGCCUCAUAGCGGGGGAUAACUAUUGGAAACGAUAGCUAAUACCGCAUAAGAGUAAUUAACACAUGUUAGUUAUUUAAAAGGAGCAAUUGCUUCACUGUGAGAUGGACCUGCGUUGUAUUAGCUAGUUGGUGAGGUAAAGGCUCACCAAGGCGACGAUACAUAGCC
rnacentral:rRNA from 1 species